rnacentral:rRNA from 1 species
UAUACAUGCAGUCGAGCGAACGGACGAGAAGCUUGCUUCUCUGAUGUUAGCGGCGGACGGGUGAGUAACACGUGGAUAACCUACCUAUAAGACUGGGAUAACUUCGGGAAACCGGAGCUAAUACCGGAUAAUAUUUUGAACCGCAUGGUUCAAAAGUGAAAGACGGUCUUGCUGUCACUUAUAGAUGGAUCCGCGCUGCAUUAGCUAGUUGGUAAGGUAACGGCUUACCAAGGCAACGAUGCAUAGCCGACCUGAGAGGGUGAUCGGCCACACUGGAACUGAGACACGGUCCAGACUCCUACGGGAGGCAGCAGUAGGGAAUCUUCCGCAAUGGGCGAAAGCCUGACGGAGCAACGCCGCGUGAGUGAUGAAGGUCUUCGGAUCGUAAAACUCUGUUAUUAGGGAAGAACAUAUGUGUAAGUAACUGUGCACAUCUUGACGGUACCUAAUCAGAAAGCCACGGCUAACUACGUGCCAGCAGCCGCGGUAAUACGUAGGUGGCAAGCGUUAUCCGGAAUUAUUGGGCGUAAAGCGCGCGUAGGCGGUUUUUUAAGUCUGAUGUGAAAGCCCACGGCUCAACCGUGGAGGGUCAUUGGAAACUGGAAAACUUGAGUGCAGAAGAGGAAAGUGGAAUUCCAUGUGUAGCGGUGAAAUGCGCAGAGAUAUGGAGGAACACCAGUGGCGAAGGCGACUUUCUGGUCUGUAACUGACGCUGAUGUGCGAAAGCGUGGGGAUCAAACAGGAUUAGAUACCCUGGUAGUCCACGCCGUAAACGAUGAGUGCUAAGUGUUAGGGGGUUUCCGCCCCUUAGUGCUGCAGCUAACGCAUUAAGCACUCCGCCUGGGGAGUACGACCGCAAGGUUGAAACUCAAAGGAAUUGACGGGGACCCGCACAAGCGGUGGAGCAUGUGGUUUAAUUCGAAGCAACGCGAAGAACCUUACCAAAUCUUGACAUCCUUUGACAACUCUAGAGAUAGAGCUUUCCCCUUCGGGGGACAAAGUGACAGGUGGUGCAUGGUUGUCGUCAGCUCGUGUCGUGAGAUGUUGGGUUAAGUCCCGCAACGAGCGCAACCCUUAAGCUUAGUUGCCAUCAUUAAGUUGGGCACUCUAAGUUGACUGCCGGUGACAAACCGGAGGAAGGUGGGGAUGACGUCAAAUCAUCAUGCCCCUUAUGAUUUGGGCUACACACGUGCUACAAUGGACAAUACAAAGGGCAGCGAAACCGCGAGGUCAAGCAAAUCCCAUAAAGUUGUUCUCAGUUCGGAUUGUAGUCUGCAACUCGACUACAUGAAGCUGGAAUCGCUAGUAAUCGUAGAUCAGCAUGCUACGGUGAAUACGUUCCCGGGUCUUGUACACACCGCCCGUCACACCACGAGAGUUUGUAACACCCGAAGCCGGUGGAGUAACCUUUUAGGAGCUAGCCGUCG